rnacentral:rRNA from 1 species
GAUGAACGCUAGCGGCAGGCUUAAUACAUGCAAGUCGAGGGGUAGCAAGAUUGUAGCAAUACAAUUGUUGACGACCGGCAAACGGGUGCGGAACACGUACACAACCUUCCUACAAGUGGGGAAUAGCCCAGAGAAAUUUGGAUUAAUACCCCGUAACAUAGCGAUGUGGCAUCACAUUGAUAUUAUAGCUUCGGCGCUUGUUGAUGGGUGUGCGGCUGAUUAGAUAGUUGGCGGGGUAACGGCCCACCAAGUCUACGAUCAGUAGCUGAUGUGAGAGCAUGAUCAGCAACACGGGCACUGAGACACGGGCCCGACUCCUACGGGAGGCAGCAGUAAGGAAUAUUGGACAAUGGACGCAAGUCUGAUCCAGCCAUGCCGCGUGAAGGAUUAAGGUCCUCUGGAUUGUAAACUUCUUUUAUAAGGGACGAAAAAAGGUCUUUCUAGAUCGUCUGACGGUACCUUAUGAAUAAGCACCGGCUAACUCCGUGCCAGCCGCCGCAGUAACAC